rnacentral:rRNA from 1 species
AUUGAACGCUGGCGGUAGGCCUAACACAUGCAAGUCGAACGAGUGGCGGACGGGUGAGGAAUACAUCGGAAUCUACUCUGUCGUGGGGGAUAACGAAGGGAAACUUACGCUAAUACCGCAAAGGAUUGAAUGAGCCGAGGUUGGAUUAGGUAGUGGGGGGGGUAAAGGCCCACAAAGGCGACGAUCCGGAGCUGGUCUGAGAGGAUGAUCAGCCACACUGGAACUGAGACACGGUCCAGACUCCUACGGGAGGAAGCAGUGGGGAAUAUUGGACAAUGGGCGCAAGCCUGAUCCAGCCAUACCGCGUGGGUGAAGAAGGCCUUCGGGUUGUAAAGCCCUUUUGUUGGGAAAGCGGUACCCAAAGAAUAAGCACCGGCUAACUUCGUGCCAGCAGCCGCGGUAAUUC